rnacentral:rRNA from 1 species
GACGAACGCUGGCGGCGUGCUUAACACAUGCAAGUCGAACGGAAAGGCCCUGCUUUUGUGGGUUGCUCGAUUGGCGAACGGGUGAGUAACACGUGAGUAACCUGCCCUUGACUUUGGGAUAACUUCAGGAAACUGGGGCUAAUACCGGAUAUGAGCUCCUGCUGCAUGGUGGGGGUUGGAAAGUUUCGGCGGUUGGGGAUGGACUCGCGGCUUAUCAGCUUGUUGGUGGGGUAGUGGCUUACCAAGGCUUUGACGGGUAGCCGGCCUGAGAGGGUGACCGGCCACAUUGGGACUGAGAUACGGACCAGAAUCCUACGGGAGGCAGCAGUGGGGAAUAUUGCACAAUGGGCGGAAGCCUGAUGCAGCAACGCCGCGUGCGGGAUGACGGCCUUCGGGUUGUAAACCGCUUUCGCAUGUGACGAAGCGGGAGUGACGGUAAUGGGUAAAGAAGCACCGGCUAACUACGUG